GUGGCGGAAUUGGUAGACGCGCUAGCUUCAGGUGUUAGUGUCCUUACGGACGUGGGGGUUCAAGUCCCCCC
rnacentral:tRNA from 1 species